rnacentral:rRNA from 1 species
AUUGAACGCUGGCGGCAGGCUUAACACAUGCAAGUCGAGCGGGGGAAGGUAGCUUGCUACCGGACCUAGCGGCGGACGGGUGAGUAAUGCUUAGGAAUCUGCCUAUUAGUGGGGGACAACAUCUCGAAAGGGAUGCUAAUACCGCAUACGUCCUACGGGAGAAAGCAGGGGAUCUUCGGACCUUGCGCUAAUAGAUGAGCCUAAGUCGGAUUAGCUAGUUGGUGGGGUAAAGGCAUACCAAGGCGACGAUCUGUAGCGGGUCUGAGAGGAUGAUCCGCCACACUGGGACUGAGACACGGCCCAGACUCCUACGGGAGGCAGCAGUGGGGAAUAUUGGACAAUGGGGGGAACCCUGAUCCAGCCAUGCCGCGUGUGUGAAGAAGGCCUUAUGGUUGUAAAGCACUUUAAGCGAGGAGGAGGCUACACUAGUUAAUACCUAGGGAUAGUGGACGUUACUCGCAGAAUAAGCACCGGCUAACUCUGUGCCAGCAGCCGCCGUAA